CCAAAGUAGCGGCGAGCGAAAUGGAAAGAGCCCAAACCUAAGCCUUUGGCUUAGGGGUUGAGGACAGAGCAUAAAAUAUAACAGGAAUUAGCCGAAGACAACUGGAAAGUUGCUCCGCAGAAGGUAAUAGACCUGUAGGUGAAAAUGGAAGUUAUAGAGUUCUGAUCCAGAGUACCACGAGACACGUGAAACCUUGUGGGAAGCAGGGAGGACCACCUCCCAAG
rnacentral:rRNA from 1 species